ACAAGAUGUGGGCAUGACUCUUGAUUUUUGCCUCAGCUAUCACCAGGCGUCACAGCGUUCAAGGAGUACAGUCCAAAUUCAGGUCAGAAGGACAGAUUAAUCUGAAAUACCUGACUUUACCAGUUAUCUGAAGUGUCUAUCCCUGUCCUGGCCUGCUAUGGGAGGGAGGAAGGAGAACAUGUACAUGCACAUGUGUAUACACACAAAACUCCUUGCAGCUGUGUGAUACAGUGUCUUUGUGUGUGAAGGAAGACCUGGAAAAAAAAUUAGUGGUGAGAGAGUAAAACAGGAAAUAUGAGAAGAUCAAGAAUGAGGACUUCAAAAUGAAGCCUCCUAGGAAAAGAGGAGAGUCACAGCAGAG